rnacentral:RNase_P_RNA from 1 species
CGAGCCGGCCGGUCUGUCGCUUGAGUCCCGCAGGGGCACGCAAGAGGAAAGUCGGGGCACCGCAGGACACUCCGCUUCCUAACGGGAAGUAUCCGCGAGGGUGCCGCAACGCAGAAGAAAACAACCGCCCUAUUAUAUAUAAAUAAGGUAAGGGUGAGAACGCGAGGUAAGAGCUCACGUCCGCAGUCAGUGAUGGCAGCGGAGUGCGUGGCGGAGGGUGAAAAUGCAUGUAAACCGGCGACGGAGGGCUGUCCGUCCAAGUAAGACCGCAAGGGCUUUGCGCCGGAGGGUAGCACGAUAGAGCCGCCUGGCAACAGUCGGCGUAGAUAAAUGACAGGCAUAACAGAACCCCGCUUACAGGCCGACUCGCUUU